rfam:Sporosarcina newyorkensis 2681 genomic scaffold SCAFFOLD1, whole genome shotgun sequence.
AAAAGAUGAAGUUAGCCAAAAGUCGCGGCUUCUUGCGACAAAGGCUAACUGACCUGCGUCAUGCCGG